CCCUCUUCUAGGAGGCCAGCCUCAUCCGACUCUUUGCUUUCCGAACAGGGUGUUAUUUUGAGUUCAAUUCUUCUGCGUACAGUCGAAAGCGAUAGGGUGUAGUUGAUGACACUUCAGCUUUAAAAAAAAAAAAAAAAAACCCCACAAAUACGAAAGAAAGAAAAAUUACCAAAAAGAUAUUGAAACUCCAUUUUCGUCUUCCCGCUCGUCUGGAUUUUCGGUUGCGUGUUCGUGUUAGUCUUCGUCUUCUUGCUCAUCUGAUCUGGGGAAUUGCUACCCACAUUGCCUCUGAGUCGUCUUGUUCAUCUGGGACUUUGGAGACUCUGAGUCGUCCUGUUCAUCUGGGACUUUGGGUCUCCAUUUUCGUAGGUAUUAAUAAUACAGAUCAACUUAAAAGCUAUCGAAGACGUUCUCUGAGUUUCAUAGCUGAAAUUGCUCUUAAAUAUUAGAUUUUUGAGUUUACUUUUGUGUUUGUUUCUGUGUGAAUUUUGGGCUGUUUCGAAAUGGCGGGUGUUGAUCAUCUGGCGACCGAGAGGAGCAAGGCUCGUUUCGAUUUGGAGGAGAUGAAGGUCGUCUGGGCCAGUUCUCGGACACCUUGGAGCUCUCCGAUCGUAUUUCUCGCCUCGUCGCCAGCAAUCCGGUCAUUUUUUCUACUUCUAGUGUUUUUUUCUUUUUUCGCCCAAUUUGAUUCUAUACCUCUAGAUGUUUUCGAGAUGUUCUUUUAGAGCUACAAAGUUUAUUCCAGUAGAUGACUCUUCUUCACAGCGAGAAACCAUUGAGCAGGGACCACAAUCAGAUAGAAUGGUAAAACCAUUAAUGGGUUUUACAGACUCGGCAGUUGUUAAGCAUCCAACUUGUUCAUUUGGGCAGGGCACUACUUUCUCUUGCAUCAUUUGCUGCUGCUCAUUCUCUGAAGGUUCGACAGUAGCAAACCUCAUGAACUCAUGAGCAUCCUCCUGACUGCCAUAGCCAAGAUUACCACCGAUAUUAGAGAAACACAUAGAUGAAACACACAGAGGAAGAGAAACAUAGAGAGGAAGGAGGGAGAGUCGAAGAUUUGGAGAAAUGGGGUUGCAAAGAUGAAACAGUGCGUUUUUUUUUUUACAUCAGACGGCGUUUGUUCCGCGCUUGCACCAGGCGACUUCAUACAACUUUUUUCUUUUGCGAUUGAUCGCAUGAUCUAUCCAUCUCUACAAAAAUCAGCCCAAUGGAAUCUCCUCUGCACAUUGCCAAAACAUUUUGCUUGUGCAUGCAUCUUUAGUUAUCUUCACAUGCAUGACAUGACACUAGCAUGAAUCUUGGAGAUGUCUUCGCGUGCUUUAUUUCUUUCCAUCUGUUUUGGCCUCUUAUCUUCUAAACAUAAGCCCGUGCGUGACUUACACUUGAGUGUGAGAUCGAAAAUGUUGGUAUGCAGAUAAUAUUAGUCUAGUUGUUCCACACGUGUUAUAAACCCAGCUUGUACCAACAGUACUACUUGACAUAUGAACCUCGAAGUUCUAUACAUGUACUGAUCUAUAUACGUGAUAAAACGUACGGCGCAAUAAAAAUAUUGUAGUAUCUAGCUACUGUUUAAGUUCAA